rnacentral:rRNA from 1 species
CCUACGGGUGGCAGCAGUGGGGAAUUUUGCACAAUGGGGGAAACCCUGAUGCAGCAACGCCGCGUGCAGGAAGACGGUUUUCGGAUUGUAAACUUCUGUUCUUAGUGAAGAAUAAUGACGGUAGCUAAGGAGCAAGCUACGGCUAAAUACGUGCCAGCAGCCGCGGGAAUACGUAGGUGGCAAGCGUUGUCCGGAAUUACUGGGUGUAAAGGUGGCGCAGGCGGGAAGCCAAGUCAGCUGUGAAAACUACGGGCUUAACUUGUAGACUGCAGGUGAAACUGGUUUGCUUGAGAGAAGUAGAGGUAAGCGGAAUUCCGAGUGUAGCAGUGAAAUGCGUAGAUAUUCGGAGGAACACCGAUAGCGAAGGCAGCUAACUGGG